rnacentral:rRNA from 1 species
CAACAGGGAUUGCCUCAGUAACGGCGAGUGAAGCGGCAACAGCUCAAAUUUUAAAGCCGGCGUCCUCGACGCCCGCGUUGUAAUUUGGAGAGGCAUCUUCGGUUUGGGCGCCAGCCUAUGUUCCUUGGAACAGGACGUCACAGAGGGUGAGAAUCCCGUGCUUGGCUGGCUGUCCCUCUCCAUGUGAAGUGUCUUCGACGAGUCGAGUUGUUUGGGAAUGCAGCUCAAAAUGGGUGGUAAAUUUCAUCUAAAGCUAAAUAUUGGCGGGAGACCGAUAGCGCACAAGUAGAGUGAUCGAAAGAUGAAAAGCACUUUGAAAAUAGAGUUAAAAAGUACGUGAAAUUGUUGAAAGGGAAGCGCUUGAGACCAGACUCGGUCGGGGGACGAUCAACGGCCCUUCUGGGCCGUGCACUCGUCCUCGGUUCGGGCCAGCAUCGGUUGAGGCGGCGGGAUAAAGGCCCGGGGAAUGUGGCUCCUCUCGGGGAGUGUUAUAGCCUCGGGCGCAAUGCCGCCAGCCUCGACCGAGGACCGCGCUCUUUUGCUAGGAUGCUGGCGUAAU